rnacentral:rRNA from 1 species
AUAGGUCAAGCUACAAAGGGCGCAUGGUGAAUGCCUUGGCAUCAGGAGCCGAUGAAGGACGUGAUAAGCUGCGAUAAGCUUCGGGUAGGCGCACAUAGCCAGUGAUCCGGAGAUUUCCGAAUGUGGGAACACACAUGGGAAACCCCAUGUACCGUAUAGUGAAUACAUAGCUAUACGGAGGUAAACCUAGGGAACUGAAACAUCUAAGUACCUAGAGGAAGAGAAAGAAAAAUCGAUUUUCUGAGUAGCGGCGAGCGAAAGGGAAAGAGCCCAAACCAGAGAUUUAUCUCUGGGGUUGCGGAC